UGUCACAGACCCGACUGCCUGUCCUCUUCCUGGCCAUGGCGUUAAUCCCAUCGCUGCUGGUUCCCCCGAUGU
rnacentral:sRNA from 1 species